rnacentral:rRNA from 1 species
GAAUGCUGACAUAAGUAACGAUAAAGCGGGUGAAAAGCCCGCUCGCCGGAAGACCAAGGGUUCCUGUCCAACGUUAAUCGGGGCAGGGUGAGUCGACCCCUAAGGCGAGGCCGAAAGGCGUAGUCGAUGGGAAACGGGUUAAUAUUCCCGUACUUGGUGUUACUGCGAAGGGGGGACGGAGAAGGCUAUGUUGGCCGGGCGACGGUUGUCCCGGUUUAAGCGUGUAGGUGUGUGUUCCAGGUAAAUCCGGUUCACUUUAACACUGAGGCGUGACGACGAGGCACUACGGUGCUGAAGCAACAAAUGCCCUGCUUCCAGGAAAAGCCUCUAAGCAUCAGGUAACAUCAAAUCGUACCCCAAACCGACACAGGUGGUCAGGUAGAGAAUACCAAGGCGCUUGAGAGAACUCGGGUGAAGGAACUAGGCAAAAUGGUGCCGUAACUUCGGGAGAAGGCACGCUGACACGUAGGUGAAGUGAUUUACUCAUGGAGCUGAAGUCAGUCGAAGAUACCAGCUGGCUGCAACUGUUUAUUAAAAACACAGCACUGUGCAAACACGAAAGUGGACGUAUACGGUGUGACGCCUGCCCGGUGCCGGAAGGUUAAUUGAUGGGGUCAGCGCAAGCGAAGCUCCUGAUCGAAGCCCCGGUAAACGGCGGCCGUAACUAUAACGGUCCUAAGGUAGCGAAAUUCCUUGUCGGGUAAGUUCCGACCUGCACGAAUGGCGUAAUGAUGGCCAGGCUGUCUCCACCCGAGACUCAGUGAAAUUGAACUCGCUGUGAAGAUGCAGUGUACCCGCGGCAAGACGGAAAGACCCCGUGAACCUUUACUAUAGCUUGACACUGAACAUUGAGCCUUGAUGUGUAGGAUAGGUGGGAGGCUUUGAAGUGUGGACGCCAGUCUGCAUGGAGCCGACCUUGAAAUACCACCCUUUAAUGUUUGAUGUUCUAACGUGGACCCGUUACCCGGGUUGCGGACAGUGUCUGGUGGGUAGUUUGACUGGGGCGGUCUCCUCCUAAAGAGUAACGGAGGAGCACGAAGGUUGGCUAAUCCUGGUCGGACAUCAGGAGGUUAGUGCAAUGGCAUAAGCCAGCUUGACUGCGAGCGUGACGGCGCGAGCAGGUGCGAAAGCAGGUCAUAGUGAUCCGGUGGUUCUGAAUGGAAGGGCCAUCGCUCAACGGAUAAAAGGUACUCCGGGGAUAACAGGCUGAUACCGCCCAAGAGUUCAUAUCGACGGCGGUGUUUGGCACCUCGAUGUCGGCUCAUCACAUCCUGGGGCUGAAGUAGGUCCCAAGGGUAUGGCUGUUCGCCAUUUAAAGUGGUACGCGAGCUGGGUUUAGAACGUCGUGAGACAGUUCGGUCCCUAUCUGCCGUGGGCGCUGGAGAACUGAGGGGGGCUGCUCCUAGUACGAGAGGACCGGAGUGGACGCAUCACUGGUGUUCGGGUUGUCAUGCCAAUGGCACUGCCCGGUAGCUAAAUGCGGAAGAGAUAAGUGCUGAAAGCAUCUAAGCACGAAACUUGCCCCGAGAUGAGUUCUCCCUGAGACUUAAAG